UUGGAAUUUCUGUGUACAUCAUACGUGCAGUUGUCUGCAAAGCGAAGGCAAAGCAACGGCAGAGACAAAUAUCUCUACGAUCGGACGAUAGUUUGGUAAUUAAAUCAAUGUUUACGGUGUAAAACGUUGUGUAAAGUUUGUGCGUCUGAUGGUGCGGUACGAAAACGCGUCGAAGACUCCCUGCCGCUGACCGUUGCAGAAUAUCCAGAAGAAAAGACUAGGCCGUUCCUCUCAACAAACUCGACGUUUCGGUAUAUCGGAUAUUGUUUUGCCAUCGGCUUGUCUGCGAAUAAUUGAAACUCAUCGACUGCAUCGCAACGGAGAAAGAUUCAUCCCUCCGUCCAUUCAUCAAUUUGCGAGCGCAUUUCGUGAGACCGAAGUGCAACGGUAUAUCGGAGAUCGACGAGACUCCCCAUCGGUGAGACACGCGACGUUUUUCACCGCAAA
rnacentral:lncRNA from 1 species